UUGAAGAGUUCAAGUUUGUGCUAUACUUGGAUUCCUACCCCUUCCUCUCCCUCCUCUUCUACCUCCCCUACUUCCACCUCUUGCUCCAGCUUGUGUUUUGCCUCUGCCUCUUCCCCUUUCUUUUGGAGGUCCAAAUGGGUCUGGUCUUUUCUCAGUUAAGGUUCCCCUUCCUUUCAACUUGCGGCCUCUCUGUCCUUUUGCUGCAAUUUCUUCUCUACUGAGUCCCUUACAUGUUGCUCUUGUAUGGUUUAUAGAUCCACACUUCUUGCAUCUCCUUACCUUCUUACCUGUCUUUUGAGGUUCAUCCACUCCUCUUAUUCUUUUUCCUCUAGGUCUUCCUGUUGGCCUAUGAAGUGGUGGAGGUAGGAUUUCAUACGCAGGCUGUAAACAUAAAUGAAAGAUUAGUGUAUGAUGAAACAAAUCAAAUAUAGCAAGGAAUUGGGAGUACUAUCAGCACAAAAUUACCUCUUCCCAUUCAUGGUCGUUUGGAAUUGGGAAUACAGGAUGUUCAUAUGCUCUCAUGUAAGCUCUUACAGUAAGGAGCUCAUGGCAAUAGCUGCCACAUUAAAUGAGAGUAAGUAUUCAAUUUAAACAUAAAAAACUGCAUAAACUGUCGAAAUAUAGUGAGGCAUUUACCUAGGUAUAUGCAUCCUUCUUUGCUCCAUAACACUGACAGCAUGCUUGCAUGGUAUUCCAGUCAAUUGCCACUGGCAGCACUCACAAGUUUUUUUUUGCACAUCCACCAUCCAUCUACUAGAACCACCCCCACUCAAAGAAACACAAAAUCUGUGAUCAGAUGCAUUACAAUAUUCAAACUCAGUCACAGAUUUCUUAAGUUCUUCAAUGGUCUUCUGCACUCUAGGAACCACAUCAUUCAAGUUGAUUGUCCUAGCCUUGUUUAACCUCUUUCUUACAUGAGUCAUGAUUAACAAACAAUAUUGCUCAACAAACCCAGUAAUUGUUUUGUCUCUGUCAAAACAUAGCAUUCAAAUAGAAAUCAGUAAUUGUUUUACCUUACUAGCAUUUACCACAAUAAAGCAUAAAACAUAAAAUAUAUCACUUACCUUAGAUCCAUAAUGAAAUUGUUGAAGCUUUCACUAAAAUUGUUGGUAAUAUGCUCACAGGUUGCAGUAUCAUCAAACUGACUUCUACAAAAGUGCACAAGUUGUCUUUUCAAAAGCCAUUCAUGAGCCUCUUUGUGCACAGUCUUCAAGUUCUCCAUCCACUUAUUGCAAUCACUCUUUCUGUAAGCUCUAGCUGCCCCCCAAGCCAGUGAUUCUAAGUGUUUGCCCCCCUUCAAAUCUUUCUUAAAGUUCUUGUAUAGGUGUCUGAAACACAACCUAUGGUUACUAUGAGGAAACAACUCACCAAGCACACCAUCCAAGCCUUUCUGCUGAUCUGACAUGAAUGUUAGUUUCCCAUCGUACAAAUCAAGAUGUGGUUUCAACUUAUCUAGGAAAUCAUACCAUGACUCAUAAUUCUCUUUCCUACAUAGGUAAAUAGCUAAAGGGUAAAGACCAUUGUUCCCAUCCAGUGAUACAAUGCUUAAACAUACCCCCCCAUAUUUACCCUUCAGAUGGCAGCCAUCAAGCCCAAGAAUGGGUCUACAACCAGCUCUCCACCCUUUCAGACAAGAACCAAAUGAGAUACAUAGCCUUAAACAAACCAUCAUCAGCAUCCCUUGUGCAUGUAGCUAUGCUUCCAGGGUUAUUUACUUCAUCUUCAUCUUGACUUUCAGAUCCUUGCACCCCACUUCCUUCAUCUUCAUAAUGUUGUUCAUUCAUGGUGGAAAAUAAGAAGAAAUAUGUAGAGAGAUGUAGAGAAGAAGAACGAUGCAGAGAGAUGAGGAGAAGAAGCUAAGGGGCUGGAGAUUUGUUUGAAGAAGUAGGUAAAAAAUAUUUAGUUUUCACUAAGUGCUGUAAAUUUGGUAAAGUAGAUUGUUUUAAUUUCAUUACACGUGUCAUAUUAUGUGUGGUUUGAUAUUUUCUUU
rnacentral:lncRNA from 1 species